UUAAGCGACUAAGCGUACACGGUGGAUGCCCUGGCAGUCAGAGGCGAUGAAGGACGUGCUAAUCUGCGAAAAGCGCCGGCGAGGUGAUAUGAACCCUUGACCCGGCGAUGUCCGAAUGGGGAAACCCAGUGCAAUCCGUUGCACUAUCGUUAACUGAAUACAUAGGUUAACGAGGCGAACCGGGGGAACUGAAACAUCUAAGUACCCCGAGGAAAAGAAAUCAACCGAGAUUCCCCCAGUAGCGGCGAGCGAACGGGGAGCAGCCCGGAGUCUGAAUCAGCUUGUGUGUUAGUGGAACGGUCUGGAAAGUCCGACGGUACAGGGUGAUAGUCCCGUACACGAAAGCACACAUGCUGUGAACUCGAAGAGUAGGGCGGGACACGUGGUAUCCUGUCUGAAUAUGGGGGGACCAUCCUCCAAGGCUAAAUACUCCUGACUGACCGAUAGUGAACCAGUACCGUGAGGGAAAGGCGAAAAGAACCCCGGCGAGGGGAGUGAAAAAGAACCUGAAACCGUGUACGUACAAGCAGUGGGAGCCUCUUUAUGGGGUGACUGCGUACCUUUUGUAUAAUGGGUCAGCGACUUAUAUUCUGUAGCAAGGUUAACCGUAUAGGGGAGCCGAAGGGAAACCGAGUCUUAACUGGGCGUUAAGUUGCAGGGUAUAGACCCGAAACCCGGUGAUCUAGCCAUGGGCAGGUUGAAGGUUGGGUAACACUAACUGGAGGACCGAACCGACUAAUGUUGAAAAAUUAGCGGAUGACCUGUGGCUGGGGGUGAAAGGCCAAUCAAACCGGGAGAUAGCUGGUUCUCCCCGAAAGCUAUUUAGGUAGCGCCUCGUGAACUCAUCUUCGGGGGUAGAGCACUGUUUCGGCUAGGGGGCCAUCCCGGCUUACCAACCCGAUGCAAACUACGAAUACCGAAGAAUGUUAUCACGGGAGACACACGGCGGGUGCUAACGUCCGUCGUGAAGAGGGAAACAACCCAGACCGCCAGCUAAGGUCCCAAAGUCAUGGUUAAGUGGGAAACGAUGUGGGAAGGCACAGACAGCCAGGAUGUUGGCUUAGAAGCAGCCAUCAUUUAAAGAAAGCGUAAUAGCUCACUGGUCGAGUCGGCCUGCGCGGAAGAUGUAACGGGGCUAAACCAUGCACCGAAGCUGCGGCAGCGACGCUUAUGCGUUGUUGGGUAGGGGAGCGUUCUGUAAGCCGUUGAAGGUGUCCUGUGAGGGGUGCUGGAGGUAUCAGAAGUGCGAAUGCUGACAUAAGUAACGAUAAAGCGGGUGAAAAGCCCGCUCGCCGGAAGACCAAGGGUUCCUGUCCAACGUUAAUCGGGGCAGGGUGAGUCGACCCCUAAGGCGAGGCCGAAAGGCGUAGUCGAUGGGAAACAGGUUAAUAUUCCUGUACUUGGUGUUACUGCGAAGGGGGGACGGAGAAGGCUAUGUCAGCCGGGCGACGGUUGUCCCGGUUUAAGCAUGUAGGCGGAGGUUCCAGGUAAAUCCGGUACCUUAUUAACACUGAGGUGUGAUGACGAGGCACUACGGUGCUGAAGUGAUAAAUGCCCUGCUUCCAGGAAAAGCCUCUAAGCAUCAGGUAACACGAAAUCGUACCCCAAACCGACACAGGUGGUCAGGUAGAGAAUACCAAGGCGCUUGAGAGAACUCGGGUGAAGGAACUAGGCAAAAUGGUGCCGUAACUUCGGGAGAAGGCACGCUGAUAUGUAGGUGAAGUCCCUGCGGACGGAGCUGAAAUCAGUCGAAGAUACCAGCUGGCUGCAACUGUUUAUUAAAAACACAGCACUGUGCAAACACGAAAGUGGACGUAUACGGUGUGACGCCUGCCCGGUGCCGGAAGGUUAAUUGAUGGGGUUAGCGGCAACGCGAAGCUCUUGAUCGAAGCCCCGGUAAACGGCGGCCGUAACUAUAACGGUCCUAAGGUAGCGAAAUUCCUUGUCGGGUAAGUUCCGACCUGCACGAAUGGCGUAAUGAUGGCCAGGCUGUCUCCACCCGAGACUCAGUGAAAUUGAACUCGCUGUGAAGAUGCAGUGUACCCGCGGCAAGACGGAAAGACCCCGUGAACCUUUACUAUAGCUUGACACUGAACACUGGUCCUUGAUGUGUAGGAUAGGUGGGAGGCUUUGAAGCGUGGACGCCAGUCUGCGUGGAGCCAACCUUGAAAUACCACCCUUUAAUGGCUGGUGUUCUAACGUAGACCCGUAAUCCGGGUUGCGGACAGUGUCUGGUGGGUAGUUUGACUGGGGCGGUCUCCUCCCAAAGAGUAACGGAGGAGCACGAAGGUUGGCUAAUCCUGGUCGGACAUCAGGAGGUUAGUGCAAUGGCAUAAGCCAGCUUGACUGCGAGCGUGACGGCGCGAGCAGGUGCGAAAGCAGGUCAUAGUGAUCCGGUGGUUCUGAAUGGAAGGGCCAUCGCUCAACGGAUAAAAGGUACUCCGGGGAUAACAGGCUGAUACCGCCCAAGAGUUCAUAUCGACGGCGGUGUUUGGCACCUCGAUGUCGGCUCAUCACAUCCUGGGGCUGAAGUAGGUCCCAAGGGUAUGGCUGUUCGCCAUUUAAAGUGGUACGCGAGCUGGGUUUAGAACGUCGUGAGACAGUUCGGUCCCUAUCUGCCGUGGGCGCUGGAGAAUUGAGGGGGGCUGCUCCUAGUACGAGAGGACCGGAGUGGACGCAUCACUGGUGUUCGGGUUGUCAUGCCAAUGGCACUGCCCGGUAGCUAAAUGCGGAAGAGAUAAGUGCUGAAAGCAUCUAAGCACGAAACUUGCCCCGAGAUGAGUUCUCCCUGAGACCUUGAGUCUCCUGAAGGAACGUUGAAGACGACGACGUUGAUAGGUCGGGUGUGUAAGCGCAGCGAUGCGUUGAGCUAACCGAUACUAAUGAACCGUGAGGCUUAACCUU
rnacentral:rRNA from 2 species